GACGACACUGGUGCAGCAGCAAAGGAGCACUGCCAUGGCGAUCCCACGCUGGUUCUUGAAUCCUCUUCUGUAAUUUGUCUGUUAACGUUCCAGGAACCAUUUUCGUUCUCAAAAGUCCCUGACCACAUAUAUUUAAUUAUUAGUGCAAAUUUAAGAACCCUAAUUUCAUGGAAUUACGUGAUAGCAAUUUUGGGAAAUGAUCAUAUCGAUUUGCAGUGAUUAAUAAAGGAAUGCAACUAACCAGAGUAUAGAUUGACUCCCGAAAUGCCUCCGACAACGUUGUCGGCUUCGAUUGCUCCCGCAAUCUCCUCGCCAUUAGAACGUGCCAAUGGUUCUUCACAGCGUUGUCUGUCCGCCCUGGAAAAAGCCUGGAAAUCAACGCCCAUUUGUUGCCAUAAACCCCCUUUUACCUUCGAAGAUGGAUUAAUCAAAACAAAGAUUAAUAAUAUUCACAGCUUUCCAGGAAUUAAAGAAAUUGAAGGAAUAUGCAUAUAUAUGUAUAUAUAUAUAAUUAUUUAUCGAAACCUGAUCUUCCAUCAAGUUUCUCAGCAAUCAAAUUCCAGUUCUGCGGGCCGUACAAUGCAACAAGCUCCUUGAGCAUUGCAUCCUCUGAAGGCUUCCAGUGCCCCCU